AUGGCCAAGACCUGCAAAACACACCCGCUAAUAAAAAUUAUUAAUUACUCAUUCAUUGAUCUUCCCACACCAUCUAACAUUUCUAUAUGAUGAAACUUUGGCUCACUUCUUGGUGCCUGCCUAAUCCUCCAGAUCAUUACACGAUUACUCUUGGCCAUGCAGUACACAUCAGACACUUCAACUGCCUUCUCUUCAGUUGCUCAUAUCAGCUGAGAUGUAAACUACAGCUGAAUGGUCUGCUAUUUUCAUGCUUCCUUGGUCUCACUA
rnacentral:lncRNA from 1 species